rnacentral:rRNA from 1 species
CCCCUAKUAACUGCGAGUGAAGCGGGAAAAGCUCAAAUUUAAAAUCUGACAGUCUUUGGCUGUCCGAGUUGUAGUCUGGAGAAGCGUUUUCCGCGCUGGACCGUGUACAAGUCUCUUGGAACAGAGCGUCAUAGAGGGUGAGAAUCCCGUCUUUGACACGGACUACCAGUGCUUUGUGAUGCGCUCUCAAAGAGUCGAGUUGUUUGGGAAUGCAGCUCAAAAUGGGUGGUAAAUUCCAUCUAAAGCUAAAUAUUGGCGAGAGACCGAUAGCGAACAAGUACCGUGAGGGAAAGAUGAAAAGCACUUUGGAAAGAGAGUUAAACAGUACGUGAAAUUGCUGAAAGGGAAACGCUUGAAGUCAGUCGCGUCGUCUAGAACUCAACCUGGCUUUGCUUGGUGCAUUUUCUAGUUGACGGGCCAACAUCAGUUUUGACUACUGGAAAAAAGCCUUUGGAAUGUGGCACCUACGGGUGUGUUAUAGCCUUGGGUUGUAUACAGUGGUUGGGACUGAGGACCGCAGCACGCCUUAUGGCCGGGGUUCGCCCACGUACGUGCUUAGGAUGUUGGCGUAAUGGCUUUAAGCGACCCGUCUUGAAACACGGACCAAGGAGUCUAACAUGCCUGCGAGUGUUUGGGUGGAAAACCCGAGCGCGUAAUGAAAGUGAAAGUUGGGAUCCCUGUCGUGGGGAGCACCGACGCCCAUACCAGACCUUCUGUGACGGAUAUGCGGUUGAGCAUGUAUGUUGGGACCCGAAAGAUGGUGAACUAUGCCUGAAUAGGGUGAAGCCAGAGGAAACUCUGGUGGAAGCUCGUAGCGAUUCUGACGUGCAAAUCGAUCGUCAAAUUUGGGUAUAGGGGCGAAAGACUAAUCGAACCAUCUAGUAGCUGG